rnacentral:rRNA from 1 species
GCGUGCCUAAUACAUGCAAGUAGAACGCUGACGGAGGAGCUUGCUUCUCUGUAUGAAUUGCUAACGGAUGAGUAACGCGUGCGUGACCUGCCUGGUAACGGGGGAUAACUAUUGCAAACAAUAGCUAAUACCGCAUAAUAAUAUAUGUUGAUUGACAUUUGCUUACUACGUGCCAUUGCCUCUCUACCAAAUGGACCUGCGUUGAAUUAGCUAGUUGGGGGGGUAACCGCUCACCAAAGCAACUAUACAUAGCCGACCAGAAAGACCGAUCGGCCACACUGUGACUGACACACCGCCCACACUCCUACGGCAGGCAUCAGUAAGAUAAUCUUCGGCAAUGGACGGAAGACUGACCCAUGCACCGCCGCGUGAGUGAAGAAGGCUUUCGGAUCGUAUCAGCUCUGUUGUAAGAAAAGAACUAGUGUGAUAGAGUAAAGUUCACGCUGUGACCUUAUCUUAACACAAAGGGACGGUUAACUACGUGCCACCAGCCGCGGUAAUACGUACGACCCGAGCGCUGACCGGAUUUAUUGAGCGUAAACCGAGCGCAGGACUUUAGAUAAGUCUGAAAUUAACGGCUGUGGCUUAACCAUAGUACUCUUUGCAGACUGUUUAACUUGAUUGCAAGAGGGGAGAGUGUAAUUCCAUGUGUAGCAGUGAAAUGCAUAUAUAUAUGAAUGAACACCGGUGGCGAAAGCGCCUCUCUGUCUUGUGACUGACACUGACGCUCGAAAGCGUGGCGAGCAAACAUGAUUACAUACCCUGGUCACUCACGCCACAAACGAUGAGUGCUAGGUGAUAUACCCUUUCCGGGCUCUAAUGUCAUAGCUAACGCAUUAAUCACUCCGCUUGGGAAGUACGACCGCAAGGUAGAAACUCAAAGGAAUGGACGGGGGCCCGCCCAAGCGGUGGAGCAUGUGGUUUAAUUCGAAGCAACGGGAAGACCCUUACCAGGUCUUGACAUCAGUGAGAUCGCUAUAGAGAUAGAGCUUUCUUUCGGGACUGAGAUGCCAGGUGGUGCAUGGUGGUGUUCAGUUGGUGUCGUGAAAUGUUGGGUUAAGUCCCGCAAGGAGCCCAACCCUUAUUGUUAGUUGCCAUCAUUCAGUUGGGCACUCAAAGGAGACUGCCGGUAAUAAACCGGAGGAAGGUGGGGAUGACGUCAAAUCAUCAUGCCCCUUAUGAGUAGGGCUACACACGUGCUACAAUGGCUGGUACAGAGAGUAGCAAGACGGUGACGGCAAGCUAAUCUCUCAAAACCAGUCUCAGUUCGGAUUGUAGUCUGCAACUCGCCUACAUGAAGUUGGAAUCGGUAGUAAUCGCGGAUUAACAAUGCCGCGGUGAAUACGUUCCCGGGCCUUGUACACACCGCCCGUCACACCCACGAGGGUUGGUAACACCAGAAGUAGAUGAGGUAACCGUAAGGAGCCAGCCGCCCAAGGUGGGAUAGAUGAUUGGGGUGAAGUCGUA